CUGUCCAGCAUUCAUUUGUGGAUCGCUGGCUGUGCAUUUGUGACUUCUGAAACAUUUCUUGUGCAAAAGCUGCAGGCAAUCCACAAAUAGGUGGACUCCACCCAUCAUCUACUCAAGCCAAUCAGAUAAUGGCCACAUUACUCAGACCAAUCGCUGCAUAUUCUAUCUUCAACCAGCCACGCUUCAUUUUACUAUCUGAUCCAGAGUCACAGGAGCGUGGAAUAAAGCACAUACAGAUAAGCUCCAAGGCCACAAACUCUAAGAAACGGAUGCCAUCAGAGGAAUACUGUGACUUAAGGUUCGCGGUUAGAGCGGUGAUGAGAGGAGAGUCUGCAUGGCAGGGAUAAACACAGGGAUUAUUGGAGCAACAAGAGAAUGCUUUUACCCUGACUAGGAGUAUCUGUCCCAGACAACUGAUACAACACCAUGACGUGGCAAUAACGAUUUUCAUGUACAAGCAAAAAAUCUAGCAAAAUGCCACCACUCCAGUUGUAAUAUUCAAUUCCAGUGUUUGUGUGUGUAAAAUAUACUCACAUUUAAUGUGUUUUGUAGUUACAUGCAUGACAACCUGUAAUUUGUAACCAAAAAAGCAUGCCUUUUCACCAACAAACUUGCUUUAAAGUGUAAAAAAAAAAAAGAAAAAAAAAAACUCUACCUACUAACCUCAAAAUACCUUGAUAGACAUUUGAGAACUCAAUAAAAGAU